AUGUUGCACACACUUGUCCCAAACCUAACAGCCCAAAGUUUGCACACAAUUAGCAAUACGAAAACUGCAGCAAAAAGCAAUAAAACAGUAUGCAAAAUUUGUUUUAAAAAACUCAUUAACUUCAGCUACAACAACAUAAACAGCACCCGCAACAAUAAUAACAACAACUUUCACUCAAAACCUCUACUCUUUCGGUCUCUGUUGCAACUUCUUUCGCUCCUAACAGACCAUAAUACUUCACUCCCUGCGUUCAUUUUCCAUUUGCCCUGUAUAUACAUACAUAACACACCAAUCAAUAGAAUUGAAAAGAGCAAUGAAUCAGUCUGUAUUUUAAACUCGAAUCUGUGA